GCCCUCUUCGCAUAGUGGUCGAUUGCACGUCACUUGUAAUGAUGUUCCGCAAGGACACGUCCGUUCGAAUCGGACAGAGGGCUCA
rnacentral:tRNA from 1 species